AGUGCCGAGCACGUUUCCCCUGGAACACCGCAGUAGCCCGUGUGUGUCGAAAUUACAAACCAGGGGUGACCGCAAAAGGAGAACUAGGGAUGGGUUACAGGUUGAAAAAGAUGAAGCGUUACCUCCAAAGUCCGGCCGCAAGCGAAUGUCAUAUCCUUUGAGCAAUCUGUCCACUGUCUCUUUCACGUAUGACAUGUUGCUGGGUUCAUUGGCGCUGAAGGGAAGAAGUAAGGACCGUAUGCAAAAUGAGCACAGACCGUGAGCACAUAUAAAAGAUACAGGCACACCUACCCCCAAAUAACAAGAUACAUGAUCCAGCAGGCACGUAAAAAGAAACAUACCAAGAAAAAAGAGAAAGAUUAAACAGCAGCUCACCUGUGUGCACAACAGACCAUUGUAAUCAUCACAGGGAAAGAAAGAAGCCCCAAACUCUCUCGAUUUUGUACUGUCCACAUUACUAACUCUGAUUAGAGAAUUGU